UACUAUUAAUUUAUAAAAUUAUUAUUAUUAUUUUUAAUUAUUUUUAGGAUGAUGUGGAAUUGAAACAAGACAAGAGGAUGCCCCUGUCAUUGAGACUGGAGGGAGGAGCCCAGUGACUCCAUUACCAGUAGAGGAAGACAGUUACAUUGGAGAAGAUAAGAAGAGAAACCAUCAAAGGAAGAAGAUGAAGAUGGAGGAGGAGGAGGAGGAUCUCUCAGUAUCUACCGCUGAGGCUCAUAGUCAUUCAGUUAUUAUUGCUAAUGAUCCUGAUCCUAAUAGACUGGCCUUGGCGGAAAAACAACCGGGGAAUACUAAUGAGGGAGGGAGGGGCAACUGCCCCAAUUUUUACUAGACUGAGAAAAGAUGGAGUGAGUGGAGCUGCUGUGGCUGGAGAAAUGGCCGCCUACCUUUACUCUAAUGGAGAGACAUUCUCUUCACUGUUGGAAGACAUUUAUUUAAAAUAUGGUCGAGUUGUGUCAAGCAAUUCUUAUUUUAUAUGUGACUCAAAAGAAA
rnacentral:lncRNA from 1 species